CAACCUGGUGAAAACCAGGCUAAUACCGCAUACGCCCUACGGGGGAAAGCGGGGGACCUUCGGGCCUCGCACUAUUGGAUGAGCCUAUGUCUGAUUAGCUUGUUGGUAGGGUAAAAGCCUACCAAGGCGACGAUCAGUAGCUGGUUUGAGAGAAUGAUCAGCCACACUGGGACUGAGACACGGCCCAGACUCCUACGGGAGGCAGCAGUGGGGAAUAUUGGACAAUGGGCGCAAGCCUGAUCCAGCAAUGCCGCGUGUGUGAAGAAGGCCUGAGGGUUGUAAAGCACUUUCAAUUGUGAAGAAAAGUUUAAGGUUAAUAACCUUAAACCGUGACGUUAACUUUAGAAGAAGCACCGGCUAACUCCGUGCCAGCAGCCGCGGUAAUACGGAGGGUGCGAGCGUUAAUCGGAAUUACUGGGCGUAAAGCGUGCGUAGGUGGCUUGGUAAGUCGGAUGUGAAAGCCCUGGGCUCAACCUGGGAACUGCAUUC
rnacentral:rRNA from 1 species